rnacentral:rRNA from 1 species
UGGAAGUACUUAGUGGCGGACGGGUGAGUAACGCGUGGGAACCUGCCCUGUACCGGGGGAUAACACUUAGAAAUAGGUGCUAAUACCGCAUAAGUUCACAUGAGAAAAACUCCGGUGGUACAGGAUGGUCCCGCGUCUGAUUAGCCAGUUGGCAGGGUAACGGCCUACCAAAGCGACGAUCAGUAGCCGGCCUGAGAGGGUGAACGGCCACAUUGGGACUGAGACACGGCCCAAACUCCUACGGGAGGCAGCAGUGGGGAAUAUUGCGCAAUGGGGGAAACCCUGAUGCAGCGACGCCGCGUGAGUGAAGAAGUAUUUCGGUAUGUAAAGCUCUAUCAGCAGGGAAGAAAAUGACGGUACCUGACUAAGAAGCCCCGGCUAACUACGUGCCAGCAGCCGCGGUAAUACGUAGGGGGCAAGCGUUAUCCGGAUUUACUGGGUGUAAAGGGAGCGUAGACGGCAUGACAAGCCAGAUGUGAAAACCCAGGGCUCAACCCUGGGACUGCAUUUGGAACUGCCAGGCUGGAGUGCAGGAGAGGUAAGCGGAAUUCCUAGUGUAGCGGUGAAAUGCGUAGAUAUUAGGAGGAACACCAGUGGCGAAGGCGGCUUACUGGACUGUAACUGACGUUGAGGCUCG